rnacentral:rRNA from 1 species
AACGAACGCUGGCGGCAUGCCUAACACAUGCAAGUCGAACGAGACCUUCGGGUCUAGUGGCGCACGGGUGCGUAACGCGUGGGAACCUGCCCUUAGGUUCGGAAUAACUCCCCGAAAGGGGUGCUAAUACCGGAUAAUGUCUUCGGACCAAAGAUUUAUCGCCUUUGGAUGGGCCCGCGUUGGAUUAGCUAGUUGGUAGGGUAAAAGCCUACCAAGGCGACGAUCCAUAGCUGGUCUGAGAGGAUGAUCAGCCACACUGGGACUGAGACACGGCCCAGACUCCUACGGGAGGCAGCAGUGGGGAAUUUUGGACAAUGGGCGAAAGCCUGAUCCAGCAGUGCCGCGUGAGUGAUGAAGGCCUUAGGGUUGUAAAGCUCUUUUACCCGGGAUGAUAAUGACAGUACCGGGAGAAUAAGCUCCGGCUAACUCCGUG